AGCCCCACUCGCAGCAUUGUUUAGAUACUUGAUCUAUGUAUCUAUCCAUGGUGAGCAACACACCAGCUGUCUCCGUCAUGGUCUGGCUGAGACAUACGCAGUGGAGCUGAGAAAAGUGGAGUAGCUAGCCAAAUACAACUAAUUAUUUACCUUGGAAGCUGGGGAGACUCUCACACCAGGUCUUGUUGGUUUGGAAUGACAUGAGGGUGAGACAUUUUUGGGUGAACGCUCCCUUUAAUGCCUCCCUUAAAACAGUUUAUACUACUGGGGUGUUGAAUGCUUGAAUCUGAUUGGCUGACGAACUGAGGUGUGUAAUUAUUUUCUGUUAAACACACGGCGAACGUAGUUCCAGGCAGAUCUCUUGACCACAAUACAGUUCCACAUCACUUUGCAUAGUAAGCUGUAAUAACAAAUUACAGGACUAACAAAAACCAAUCAGCCAAUCAGAUUCAAGCAUUCAACGGCCUCGUAGUAUUAAACAGAUGACACAUGAAGGCAAAUGAUGCCAUUUUCAUUUGUUAAAUCAUUUCUUUUGUCUUUUUGCGAGCACCUACUUGGGAAUCCUUUUUCCAGCAAUUUCAGGUUCUGAGUUUAUGUCAGAAGUAUAGCUGGCCUUCUUCCAAUUGUUGGCUACAUUCUGAAAAGAUGCUGAAAACAAGAAAUGCAGGAUUUACACAAGCUCCAGUCUGGAUCCAGAUCACCUGAGAAGAGACAAUACUGACCUUCAGAGGACCUCAGAUGAUGCUAACCCAGAGACAACAUACAGAACUACCACAUUUUGACUCGUGCAGGAUUCUUGCUCUAUGUCGGGUCCACCCUUUUUCUGGCUGUGGUGCCUCCAUUGUCCGAACACUCUUCAGCAACCUGUCAAGAUCUUUAUAUGGUGGCCACCAGGAGUAGCCAUCUGCAUACCAGGACUUGGCAGCUGGUCCAGUCGUCCCUUCUCCCUCAAACUCCACGAUUAGAAAUCAACUGUUGUUGAGAGGUCAUCCACUAAAUGAAUGCCAAGUGUAGAGGAUGGCAGUGGAUAGUCAAACAAGGAUUCCUGGUGGUUGAAGAGGGCAUGUUGGUUUCCUCAGAAGUCUUUUGAGUUUGUUUAGGUGAUUCUCAUACUUGAUGCGAAAAAGCAUGGUGUCCUUGACAACUUCAGUGCUUUCAUCUGCAAGAUGUACAAGAGAGUGUGCAUUGUAGGACAAGAAUUGUGGACCAUACAGUUGACCAAAGUGAGAGACAACGAGCACCACCUACAAGUCAGAGGACCCAUCUUCAGCCACAAGAGAAGAAGCUGUCUCAUGAUGGUGCAUGUAGUCGAGGGGGAAACCAGAGACCAUGUUUAGGGAUGUUUCUUCAAGAGGUACAAACCAUCCUGUGUGCAUUUUUCACAUCCGUGAUAGCCUGUGUGACCUUUAACAUUUUUCAGGAAUGCACGGGCAGGUGCAUCACAGACCAUCGAAAGAGAUGUCUCUAGGAUGGGCCAGAACUGUGUUGCUGAGCUCUUAUAGAGUGGCAAACCAUCAAUGCUGACCUGAAGCUCCAGUGUGUGAAUGUUGCGCAGAAUGUCAACAUUCUGAUGUAGCACCUCUGCAAUUGAAUUCAGCACUCCAAGAUGCAAGGCAUUCGAUUGGCUGGUAGGUGCUGAUGUCGCGCUGCAAGAACAACAUGGCACGGGUUCAAAGCCUUAUUCAACUGAGAAAAUUGAUCAGCGUCAUGGUACAAGCGAAGUCUGAAUGGUUUGUUUCCCUGUUUCUUCUGCCUUGGCUGCACCAGCUGUGGAAACCAGACCUGGUGAGGACCCUCUCCUCCAUCCUCAACUAUUGAACCUCUUAUAUCACUCGGAUGAGGUGAUCUGGAUCCAGACCGGAACUUGUGUAAAUGGGAUGAAGAUCCCAGCAGAAACAGAGAAACAAAUAGAGACAUCAUAAGCAUAGCUGGACAGACCAGCCUGUGAUCUCCUAAGACACCCAGAUUCACCCCUGGUCACGAUCAUUCCCUCACCUGUGUCUCAUCACAGUCCAUCACCAGUGUCUGCACCCUGCAUACUGCCAAUAUUAUGGAUUUCUGUUCUGGAGAAAGAUGCCAUUCACAACAUAAUCUCUACACAAUAUCAAACUCAAAUAAUUUAGUCUUGCCAAACAGUUUCCCUGAUUUGUUACUGUUCACAAUGUAGCAUGGUCUUGCCUACCUUUGUCCAUUCAGUUAUUAAAAUGUUUUUAAUAUUUGUAUUGAA